AGGCAUAUACUACCUAAAGAAGAAGAAGAAGAAAAUAUCCGAGGGGCAAAUGGAAUGCAAACCACGUGCAUUCACCAACAGGCUUUGUGGUUGACUCUAUGUUGAGUGCCAUCACUUGUCGUUGACUAUAAGACCAUCCAUCGUCUAUGGAUCGGCCUAAACAACUCUCUUAUACCCAACACUUGUCGUUGACUAUAUGUUGAGUGCAUUCUCUCUCUCUCUCUCUCUCUCUCUCUCUCUCUCCAAUUGUUUUUACUCGUCAAAACUCCCAUUUCAUCUGCAUCUACUACUCUCCUUUCGCAUUGAAAUAGAACCGAAUAUUAAUUUCUCUUAGAGAAAAGCUAUUUAUCGAUUACAUAGGAUAAUUUUACCUCCGGCUCGUGGUCGAUCGUUCUAAUUUGGUUCGAUCGAUUGGGUUUGAUUAGCCCAUUUAUGCAAAUCCCAUUUCCCAUCUCAAUACGAUGCGGCAUCUGCACGGAAAGCGGAGGUGUCUAGGCUUGCGAGCGACAAGGGGAGAGAGGAAGGGUGGCGGUGGGGAGGAAGUGAGAUCCAGGUUCCCUACCGGUGGAUGCAGGAACCCUCACCCUCUACCGGAAGUACCAGGUGGCCCAAUUGCAUCUGAUGACCUCGUCUUUUGAGGGAUCCAAACGAGUGACCCUGCAGUUGCAAAGACUUGCAUCUGUAACACAGCAAAUUCAUAAAUCUGACUGUUUGUUUUAGAACUCUUGCAUCUGCAACAUUUCUGUGGACAAAGACCUUUAUCCCUAUGCUGUGGUCACUGAUGUCUUGGAAGCUCCAGCAAAAAUGAAUCUGGACUGCUGUGUGAGACAUCAAGAUGGAGAAGAUUCACGGUUACGACUCCUUUAUUAGGGUGCUAAGGUGCACAUAUUGUCUUACAAUUCCGAAAUAAUGAGAAAGGAGUGAGUUGGCUUUCUAUUAAGAUCUAUAAUAUAAUACCUUGAUGAUUUUGAAUGUUCUCAUGAUUAACAAAUCACAAUUUAUUGUCUUUGUGUGUGUGUGGGGGGGGAGUAUACAUCUUUCUGACCAAAAUUUUGUUAAUCUAACACUUAGAUUACCUUGUGACUCAAUUUCAAAGCUUCGAUGGGUGUUGACUUUAUGGAAUGAAACAAAUGGUUGCCUAUGAGCUUAAAUCUGAAACUCUUUUUUGCUGAAUUAUAGUCAUAGUUGAAAUAUAUCCCACACACAUUUUGUGGUGGUGAGCUCGACCACAGUAAUCGGUGAUGACCUUUAUCUUGAUUCAAAUAACUGGAUGUAUCUUUUAUCAUUAUUGACAACAGAAAGGCUCUGUUUCUUCUCAUCAUACAGGAUGAUAAUGGGAACCUAAAAACUUCUUCAGUCUUUAUUAUUGUAGCCUUCAUUUUCUCUCUUUUGCAUCUUUCUAAAUCAAUACAUAAUAAUUAAAUGACUGAUGAUGUUACAUGAGCUGUUAAAGAAAGGAAUUGGCUUGAAAGGAAGAACUCAAGGGAUAUAUACACCUAGAAAGAUUUUAAAUUUAAUGAAAAUAUAAUGUACUAGAUUUAUUUAUCAAAGGUUAAGAUUUCAAGACCUCAUCCGAUAUAUAUAUCUUAUUUUUUUGAAAAAAAAAUCUUGGAAUGUCGGAUUGUUUUGUGAUGUUUGCUUUGUUAGCAAAAUAAUCCAUGAAUUAUAGCAGUUGUGUUUCCUUUCAUGUAUUGCAAUGUAUAAAUGAACACUUAAUGAGUCAAUUUAUGCAUACGUUAUGUGCACAAAAAUAUUUUAUUUAUAAGAAUUUAAAAGUAAUGUAUCACAUCAAAUACUAAAUGAACUAAUAAUCCUUAUAUGCUCCACAUGACAAUUAUAUUGUGUUGCCGGUAAACCUUUGGUCAUAGGAUCAACAAUCAUUUAUCUACUUCAUGUUUCUUUAUGUGAUACUUUAUAUUGAUGUGUUUGCUAUGACUUGUAUACUUUUAUUGUUCUUAGAAAAGAAUACAGUGGCUGAGUUUUCAUAAUACAUCUUUAUAGGUUGAGUAAUUAAAACGAUAAUAUUUAAUUACGAGAUGAAGUUACACAAUCACAAAGUCUGUGUAGUAGCUUCAUAGCAACGAAGAAAUUAAACUUGCAUAGUGGAUGAAGCAACUAUUUGCUUGUUGCUUCUCAAAGUUAUUGCACCUCGAGCUAAUAGAAAAAUAUAUUGCACAUCCAUCAAAAUCUAAAUAUGAAUAUUUGAUCAUAUUAAACUAAUCAAAAUGUUUAUAAGUCACCAUAUAAUCCUUAGUUCGUUACAAAUACUUCAUGACCAUCUUUAUAGCUUUUUAAUGAGUCAUUCCUAGACUAAUUUUAUGUCUAGCCCAGCAUCCCUACUACAUAUGCUAUAUAAUGUUAUGUGAAGACCUAUCUAUCUAUUAAACUUUGGAUGCAUAUGGGUCAUUUUUCAUUUGCUUCUUUUCUAAAUGAUUUUGUAGAUGUUAUUUUAAUUAAAUUUAUCUCCUUUCACAAUAGGCACUAUUGAAGGGGAACAUUAUUAUGUUAUAAAUCUUUGUAAAAUCUUUUUAAUAUGACUUUUUGAGAUAGUCUUAACCUUUUAGAUCUAUUUUUAUGAAUCUCUAUAUCAUUCAUAUAACAGUUUUCACCUAAAUAUUUAUCUCAAAAUUUUGAGAAAGGAAAUACUUUGUUUUAUACAGUAUAACAAAAUCAUUACUUGCAGAUAAGUUGUUAUCAAUGUAUAGGGCUAAGAAAAUUAUUUUGCUCCCAUUGACCUUAACAUAAUUCAUAAUAUUUUUAAUAAGACGAAAAGAGAUGAUAACAUGAUAAAAUUUAGUGUACCAUUAUUGGAAAGCCUAUUUUAGUCUAUGUAUUAACUUAUUUAACUUACAAACUAAUUGAUUUUUAUCACAAAAACCUUUAGGCUAGUCCAUAUAUACUUCUUCCUCAAUAUCCUCAUUUAAAAAUAUUAUUUUUAUAUUUAUCUGAUGUAACUCUAUUAAGAUAAGCUAUAAGAGUCGUGAUUAUUCUAAAUGAGUCCUUAGAAAUAAGGGAGAAUAUGUCAUGAUAAUCAACGCCUUCAUUUUUUGUGAAACCUUAGGCUACAAGUCAAAUUUUAUAUCUCUCGAUAUUUCUAGAGGCAUUCCUUUUGGUCUUAUAUACCCAUUUACAACUAAUGAGUAUAGCCCCUUUUAGUAAUUCGAUAAAAUUUCAAAUUUGAUUUCUGGCCAUAAACUCUAAUUCCUCUUUCAUGAUACCAUACACAAGUUUAGAGUCUAUCUUUACUCAUGGCUUAUGAAAACAACCAAAGAUCAUCCUUAAGUCUAACAUUAAAUUCGGAUGAAAAUCUUAACUUUGAAGAUCUCCUCAAUAUCAUAAUAUCCCUUUCAUUUUGUAAAUUAGGAAGUAUUAAGCUUUGUAUGAACUUGUUUUGUAUGAAUUUAUUUCUCAACGUGAUAAAGUUGGCUAAUUGGAAGCAAACCAACAUUAUCAUUUGAUUCCUUAUGCUGUAUCUUUAUUUUCUUAAAUUGUAUUUGAGAAAAAAUGCUUUCAUAGAGUUGAAGAUCUUCAAGAAAUUUAAAAUUUCUUGCCUUAUGAAUUAUAGAUGUCUGAGAGGAAUAAUAAAAUCUUUAUCUUUUAGAGUUAAUAGCAUAAUUAAUAAAAAAAUCAUUGAUCAGAGUCUAGUUUCUUUAUAUGAUGAUCAUAAGUCUUUACUUUAACAAGACAACUUCAGAAAUCUAAAUGACUUAGACUUUGGUUUUUACCAUUUCAAUAACUCAAAGGAGUCUUAGAAACAAUUUUAGAUAGAAUCUUGUUUAAGAUAUAUACAAUGGUCUUUUAGUGUUUCACUCCAAAAAGGAUAUGGAUAAAUUAGAAAAUAAUUCGUUGAAUAUGUAGUGUAAUAUAAAAUUUCCUCCAACUAUAGUUGUCCAAGAACAAGCUUUUGGAUGAAGAACACUCAAGAAUAAUUGGUGUCUUAUAAUCUGUCUUAUGGAACUUCAUGGAUGUCUAUGCCUUAAUCGAUAGCUGUAGGCCUAUAUAUAGACUAGACAAUGAAAAAAUUUUGAGGUAACCUCCUCCAAUGUGACUAAUAAAACUAUUUUGUUUGAUUAUUAAUGUUAUGCAACUUAUUUCACCAUUAUCAUGACAAUAAUACAAUUGAAACCAGCCAAUUUGAUAUGUGAACUAUCUAUAUUGUGGUAUUUCAAUGAAUUUUUUGACGACAUUAUGGUUGAUUAGCCACAAAAAGGAGUAAUUGAGAUUGGCCAACAGGUUAUAUCUUUUGUCCUUCCAGUAUAAGCAGGCAAGGUGAACAAUAACCAUCUUACCAGCAAAUACAGAAAUUGCUCUCACACAAUGUCUGUAGCUUUUAUAAGGAGGAAAAUGGUCAGUAGCAAUAUGUUUAUUGUGAUUUUGCCUUUAUUUCAAUUUGACGAAGAUAUUCUGUGUGUUUGUCAAGUAAUUACUGCUGUUGAUGAAAUAUAAACAUUGCUUUUUUGUGCAACUAUCACUGAUAGAGUUGGUAUUUUUAAUCGUCCUUCUGAGUCAUCUUUGCUGCAGAAAUGGCCACCUUACAGCUCUCAUAAGAGGAGUAUGGAAGAAGCACUCGGGUGUAGAGGAGUAGAACAAUCAUGAAAGUGAUAGUAGUAGUAGCUGGUGCAGGGUUAGUGAUUCCUAAGGUUUCUUAAAACCUACACUUUCGGCUUUUUCUUGUUAUGAUAAGAACAAGUAAAAGGCAGGCAAAUGGACUGCCGCAAUGGUGGUAGUAGGUAUUGAAGUUAAGCAACUCUCUUUUUCGAGGACACGAGAUUUCAACACAGCUUCUUUACCUAAUCAAGGAUGCUAUAUGGCCUGCGUCAUUUCCGCAUUAACUGCUAAUGUCUUCAUGCAUGAUCUCAUCAUAUUCCAGAGUUUUCUGAGCAUCAUAAUGUCUCAAACAUGCUUAUUGAUGAUUCGGAUAGAAUGUCGGAUCAAAUUACAAUUGA